AGAGGGUGAGAAGCGCUGGGCCGGACCAGAACUGUCUUAGCUUUUCCCUCUGCGGCUGCUCUGGUUGGUUACUUUGAGCCUGCCUCCUCAGCGCCGCAGGAGAGACUUAACAGCAAAAAUGACUGUGUCCUGAGUUCAGCCCCCACUGCUCUGGGAGCUUCCCCCUGGUUUCUGCACCUGAAGAAUGUCAUCCCAGCCGAAGGUUCUUAGGAGCGGGGAGCGACAAAGAAAAACAAAGAAAAGCAGACCUGAAAAUUGGGACCUGGGAGAAAUGUAAGACAUGUGCUUAAUUUGAGGCACAGACCAAAAGAAGCUGAGUCUGAGGGCCCUCUAAAAGUGUCCUCGUGCUUGGGCAGCUUACAUUCUUGGCGGCAGUAGUGUUAUGAAGAGGACCUUCGGAGCCAGGUCUGUCCAUUCUUAGGGCUCCAGCCACUGGCUGAGGCAUCAGUAAGUUGGUUCUUCCCCUCGCCGGUGCUGCAGGCCCCCUUCCCCGCCCCCGCGCCGUAACCUGCCUCUUUUUUUUUUUUUUUUGAAACGAGUUUCGCUCUGUCGCCAGGGUGGAGUGCAGUGGCACGAUCUCGGCUCACUGCAACCUCCGCCUCCGGGUUCAAGCUAUUCUCCUGCCUCAGCCUCCCGAGUAGCUGGGAUUACAGGCAUGUACCACCACGCCCAGCUAAUGUUUUUGUAUUUUUAGCAGUGACGGGGUUUCACCAGGAUGGUCUCGAUCUCUUGACCUCGUGAUUCGCCAGCCUCGGCCUCCCAAAGUGCUGGGAUUACAGGCGUGAGCCACCACGCCCAGCCGCCUCAUCUCUUCUUAACCAUCUUUGUGGCACAGUUUAGGAUCGCUCCUCAGGGAAGCUUGCUCAGUUAGGUACCUUCCUUGGAGCACAGGUGUUUUCUCCAUCCGAGCUAUUGAAAUGGUUUGCCUGUAUGUCUACCUAGAUUGUAAACUCCGUUGAAUCAGUAACCAUGUCUGUUCAGUUUCUCCCUAGGGCCUUGCAGUAGGGUAGAUGGUCAGUAAAUACUGUUUAAGGCAUUAAUACUUUUUAUUUUAAUCCUGGCCCUGGAUAUCAGCCUCAAAAGUUUGCAGUUUUCUGCAUUUAACUUCAAAAUUAUUUACGUGAUUGGUAAUGCAUGCAUGUGGUUGGCCUGUGCUGUAAUUUAGAUGUUUGUUCCCCUAAACCUCCUGUUGAAAUUUGAUCCCCAAUGUUGGAGGUGGGGACUAAUGGGCAGUGUUGGGUCAUGGAGGUGGUUCCUUCAGGAAUAGAUUAAUGUCCUCCCUGGGGAGAGGGUAAAUGAGUUCUCUUUAUUUCCACCAGAGCUGGUUAAAAAGAACGUCGCACUUCCUUUCUUCUUUUGCGUCCUCUCUGGCCAUGUAAUCUCUGCACACACCAGCUCUCCUUUGCCUUCUGGCAUGAGUAGAAGCAGUCUUAGGCUACCAUCAGAUGCAGAUGCUCAGUCUUGAACUUUUCCAGACAUCAGAACCAUAAGCCGAAAAACCUUUUCUAUUUCUAAAUUAUCCAGCUUUGGGUAUUCCUUUCUAGCAACACUAAAGGGACUAAGACAGCCUGCCAUAUGUAGGAUCACAAGGUCAAGCACAAAUUUACCUAUUUAUGCUGUACUAUCCUCAGGUUGACUGGGACAAGUAGACCAUGAAACUGGGCAACAGCUACUCUAUGUCUACAUUCUGUUAUUAGCAUCCAAAGUGAAUAAUGGCGGUGAAUUUUGAGUUUAUUCUAAGGGUUUAAAUAACUGCAUAUUUUAUCAUGACUGGUAUGGACUGAAUUGCAUCCCCCCCAAAAAUUCAUACUGAAGCCCUCACUCCUAAUGUGACUAUAUAAAUGUUCCUUAACUUACAAAGGGGUUAUGUUCCAAUAAACCCACCAUAAACUGAAAAUACCUUAAGUUGAAAAGAUCUUAAGUCAGAAAUGCAUUUAAUGCUUCUAACCUACCAAACAUCAUAGCUUAGAGUAGCCUACCUAAAACAUGCUCAGAAUACUUACAUUAGCUUUCAGUUAGGCAAAAUCAUCUAAUACAAAGCUUAUUUUUUAAUAAAGUAUUGAGUAUUUCAUGUAAUCUACUAAAUACUGAAUGAAAAACUGGAUGGUUUUAUGGGUACUCAAAGUACAGAUUCUAGAGUGCAUAUGGCUUUUGGACCAUCAUAAAGUCAAAAAAAUCUUAAGUCAGGGACCAUCUCUAGUUGGAGCUAGGCCUUUAGGGAGGUAAUAAAAAUUAAAUUAGGUCAUAAGGGUGGGGCCCUAAUCCCAUAAGAUUAAUGUCUUUAUAGAAAGUGGCACCAGAGAGCUCUCUCCAUUUGAGAACACAGCAAGCAGACAGACAUCUGCAAGCCAGAGAGAGAGCCCUCACCCAAAACUGACCAUGCUGGCACCCUCUUUUGGACCUCCCAACCUACAUAACUUUGAAAAAAUAAACUUCUGUUGUGUAAGCCACCCAAUCUAGUAUUUUAUUAUGGCAGCCCAAGCUAAUACAAUGGUUUUAUUUGUUGAUACAUUUUAUAAAGUUUACAGACUGAGAUAUUAUAUUCAUUUUUGAAGAAACUUGUCCAGAGUUAAAACUGUUGCUGCAAAAUCACCCAUCAAACUGUUAGCACAGCGUGACUCAAUUUUAAUUCUAAUUACAUAUUUAACAUACGAUGGAGGCAGAAGGUGUGAAUAUAAAUACAACAGGUAAAAUACAGAAAUACAGUUCUUGCCUUCAUGUAGCUUACCACCACCUUAAGUGGGGAAAAUUAACCCAGCAAAAAGUAUGCUGAAGUCAUACAUUUAGGGUUUUUGUUUGUUUGUUUGUUUUUUGAGAUGGAGUCUCGCUUUUUUGCCCAGGUUGGAGUGCAGUGGCACCACCUCAGCUUAUUGCAACCUCCACCUCCCGGGUUCAAGCAAUUCUCCUGCCUCAGCCUCCCAAGUUGCUGGGACUACAGGCACACACCACCACACCUGGCUAAUUUUUUGUAUUUUUAGUAGAGACGGGGUUUCACAAUGUUGGCCAGGCUUGUCUCAAACCCCUGACCUCAGGUGAUCCACCCACCUCAGCCUCCCAAAGUGUUGGGAUUACAGGCGUGAGCCACAGCACCCAGCUAGUUUAUCCUCUUAAUUUUCCUUCUUUAAUCUUUCUCAUCACUCAUUCUUAACAGGAACUCUUUAAAAAAAUUUAAGAAACCUCCAAAAAUAUAUGCAAAAGAGGAGUCAAAGAAGAAAAAUAAGCAAACAGCAAUGAAAAAGGAAAGCAUAGACUGGAAGGGCAGAUAGGCAGAAAGGCAUGUAUGUAAUUGCACUUAGAAGGGAUGCAGUACAUGUUUUAAUGGGGUGGGAGCUGUCCCAGAGACUUCCUUUCACACAGUCUGUCUCCCCAGCUUCCAAAUAUAAACAUGCACAUGGCUGCUGCUUCCUCUCUUUCAGGGGAACUCAAACCAAAAACAGGAAUCAUCCUUGCUAAUUAGUGCUGAGUGGAUCAGGGACUAACCAGAAUCAGGCAACAAGAAAAUGUAAGUCAAAACUUAUGAUCAGCCCUGGCAACAGAGCUAGACCCUGUCUCUACAAAACAAAAUUUUUUUUAAUCAGCUGGGCAUAGUGGCAUGUGCCUGUAGUCCCAGCCACUCUGGAGGCUGAGGUGGGAGGAUGGCUUGAGCCCAGGAAUUUGAGGCUGCAAUGAGCUAUGAUCACACCACAUCUCAAAACAAAAACAAAACUUAUCUAGGGACUACACGUGGAGCUUUGGAUAUGGGCAGCUAAUCUGUCUAUGAUUAAAAACACGCAGGUGGCUUACUUUAUUAAUCCAAAAUAAAAGAAUUUGGGAACACAAGAAAGGGAAAAAUGAGCCUCCAUGUCAAGACCUUUCCCAGAAACCUGAUAGCUUAUAGUUAGAAAUUGUUAUAGACAGUCCAGUGCAAGGAGGACAUUAAGCCACAGGGGAAAGGAGUUGUGUGGCCAGGUUAGUCAGGCAAUUAACUAGAAAAAAUCUGUCCACAUAGAGGAGCCUGCAUAAUAAAAAGGUAUUAAACGAUAGUAGAAUAUUGCUAGAGCAGAAGAUAGCUAGAAAUAUAAUCAAUAACCAGGUUAUGGAAGUCAGGCACCUUAGAGUUUAUCCUAUAGGCAAUGAGAAGCCAUUCAAAGGGUUUUUGUUUUUGUUUUCAGCACUUUAAAGAUGUCAUUCUCGUUUUCCAGCCUCCAUUAUAUCUGUGAGAAACUAGUUGUAAUUCUUAUCAUUGUUUUCUUGUAUGUCUUAUGCCUUUUUCUAUGAAUGCUUUUAAGAUUUUGUUUAUAUUUAUCAAAAGUUAACACUGAUGUUUCUAGGUGUCUUUUUCUAUGAAUGCUUAUAAGAUUUUCAUUAUAUUUAUCAAAAGUUACACUGUGAUGUUUCAUUACACUGUGAUGUUUCAUUACACUGUGAUGUUUGUUUUGGUUUUGGUUUUGUAUUUAUCCUGCUUGGGGUUCAUUUCAUUCCCUGGGUCUGUGGAUUGCUGGUUUCUCAUUUUCUUUUCUUUUCUUUUUUUUUUUUUAUCAAAUUUGGAAGACUUUUGUCCAGUAUUUCUUCAAAUUUUUUUUUCUGUCCCAUUCUGUUUCUCCUCUUCUUCUGGGACUACAAUUACACUCAUGCUAGACUUCUCAGUACUUAGUACAGGUCAUUCAGGCUCUGUUCAUUCUUUUUUCAGUUUGUAUAAUUUCUAUUGAGAGCCACUGUCUAGUAAUCCCUGAAAAAAUCUAAAUGUUGACAUUUUCCCAAAGCACAGUACCCUGCUGAUGGCUGUAGUUUCCUUUGGGGAAGGUUUAGAGAUAUGUUAGUCAGGAAAUCAGAAAUUAGAUGAUAUUACUACAGAGAGGAUUUAGUAUUGAGUUUUCAUUGACUGAAAAAGCAAAAACGGAACACUGAGGUUACCCAGAGGUGAUAACUGCAGGGAGCAGCUGUCAAUGAUAGAUCUAGUGAAAAUGGGGACUCAAGGUGGAUUAUCAGGUCUCAGAAACUCAGACAAAUGACCUGGCUGAGUAUUGCUCAGACCCCUGAGAGGAUGCUGUCUGGCUGAUCCUACUACUUCAGGGAAGGAUAUGAUGAGGCUAGUUGUGGAUGGGGAGGAUGUCAAAAGAAGCUCAAGGCUGAAAUCAAUUGCUGCUGCUGGAGCAAAGGGCUCUUGCUUGUUGCUGGGAUAACAGUGACAGAAACUGCAAACAAAUGGAAAGGAGGAAGUCCCUUCUUCCCUUCUGCCUUCCAGUCUCCCUCUAAUGCCCUUUAUUGAUGGAACCUAGUGAGACACCAGCUGACAUAGAAAAAAAUGUAGUUUGCAGGGUUUGAGCCACAGCAUUACAGAGAAAUGUAUAGAAGGGGGAAUGUGGACCUGAGACAAUAGUUUAAUAAACAGUACCAUAUCAUUUAUUUGUGCUAAAUUGGUAAGAAUGGCCAAAAUUAGACUUAAUGCCAUCAUAUGUGCUUUUACAGACUUUUAGACCUUUUUGAAAAGAAUCUCAGGAUACCAUGUCAAUUUUCUGCUACAUUAUGAUUACUGUUGGUGCCUUUUUCAGGAGUAAGGAGUACUUUUACUGCAGCUCACACAUACACUAGCCACAAAAUCAUAAACAAGGGCAGCCUUGGAAGAGAUCUACAUAACUGAGGAUAAGCAGACCCUACCCCAACGUUAGGUCUCCAAACAUCAGGGACAAAAUGGCAUGGGCUAGGUAGGACUGGCAAGAAUCCACACUUCUCCCUAUUUCUAUUUCCUAUGUAUCGCCUAAUGUGCUCAUAAUAAGGAGAAAACCAAUUUCCUGUUCUAACUUUGGACAGCCACCCAUUGUCAUUAAAAAACCACUUAUUUUCCCUUCUUUCCUCUUUUCUUGCCUCAACCCAGGCUCCUUUACCCAGCCCUAUGACUUCUAGUUUUCUAAUGCAAGUAGAUGACAAAACAGGGUUUGGUGUUCAACAUUUCACCUUAUAGUGUAUUUUUCACAAAUGAAGGAGUUUUGUUGAACAUUUGUAGAACAUUUCUAAUUUUUGAACUUCAGUUCCAUCUGAAAGGGGUCAUUUCUUUGAGUCUUCUAUUAUUUAGUAAUAGCAGUUAACAUUCUCCUUCUACUACAAUUUACCUGGAAAGACACCCAUAAAUACCAAUAAAGAUACCAGAUUCAUAACGUAUUUCAUAUAUUUAAUAUUUGUAUUUGAAUAUAUUAGACUAGAAUAAAUUUUCUGCAUUUGUAUAUAUUAUAUAUUUUAUAGCACUCUGUCAGUUAUAUAACACAAAAGACAUUCAUAGGUAAACAUUAAAAUGGCAGUAUACAUAAUAACUGAACAUUAAUGAGACAAUAAUAAUCAGGUAUUCAUUUAAUGGGAGAGUCUAGUAUUUCCUGGUAGUCCUGCUUUCUUAAAUUCCUCCAGUAAAGUUUAUAGCCAGCAAGGACAAAAACACUAAUCAUAAUGAUUACCCCUCCAAAAACAUCAUAGAUGCUAGGAAAUAUGUGCAGCACGAGAAGCUGCAAGACCAUAGCUACCACAAUCUCCAAAUGUUGUACUGUGCUAACCAAAGCUGGAUGGAAUUUGUCCAAGGCAUAAUAAACUCCUAAGAAUGCUGCAGUAGAACAGACACAUAUAGCAAUGAGAUAACUCCAGGUUUCUCCAUCUAAUGGGAUGAUGGGUUCUUGAAGAAUAAACAUAGUAGAUAUUCCCCAAAUUGUCCCAGUCCAACCAAAAGUAAACAGUGCAGUCCACAUGCUGAUCUUCUCCUUGAUGGAUCUGUAUACUAUCAUUGAGAGAGCAGUGGUCAGUCCAGCCAUCACAGUCAUGGUGUACCCAAAGGCUUCUUUCCAGGCAUUUAACAAAGAAUUGUCUUCAUCAACAAUGUUUGGGAUCAUGACAAGACAAACACCUAAGAUGCUGCAAACAACUGUAGCCAUGUCAACAUAAGCCAUUUUCUCAUCUACGAGUAAAAAAGCCAAAAUGGCACUGAAGACUGUAGUUGUGGCUCUCCACAUAGUGGUCCCAUUGCUGGGAGGAACUAUUGAAAAUGAUGUAUAAGCACAAGUGAUAGAAAUGACAUUGCAUACACCAUAAAAGAAGAGUCGUAAUCUGUAUCCACUGGGUCCAAAGGGGGCCUCCUGAUAGUAACACACAACUAACACAGAUAAGACCUGAAAAACAGAACGGAUAAAAAUCAGUUCUAGAGAUGGAACUUUAGACCGAUCAGAAACAAGCCUAGUGAUAAGAGCUACACAUCCAUGAGCCAAAGCAGAUCCAAACAGCACUAUCCACAUUUUUCGGGAUUGAAAAAUGUUUUUUUCUGCAAAGCUCUGGAAUUGUCCAAUCUCAUUGAUCAUUGGGUCUUCUGUUGGUGGAGGUAGGGUAUCCAUGGUUCCAAAGAAAGCUCUCCCUUUUUUUUUCAUUUCACUCAGCAGACCUUUCUUUGGAUUUUCCUCCAUAAAAUUUCCAUAGCCUUCAUUGAUUUCUUCAUAUCCAUCAUCGCCAGGCUGGGGAUAAUGAGAAGUAUAUUUCACCAUCACUGUGUUGGGAUGUAUUUUCACCCGUUUUUUAACUGGAUAUUUUCUGGAGGGAGAAGUAUCCAUUUCUUCAGAUAAUCAAUUCUAUUUAAAGAAAAAAAUUGACAAAAAGACAUUCAUUUCAUUGAAAAUUUAAUUUCUAUUAUAAUCAUAUGCAUCAAUUCAAUGAUAGAAAGUAGAGGCUGUAACAGUAGUCCAGAAAAAAAAGAAAUUAGAGAUGAUCUGGCAAUAUGCCUUAUCAGAUGUAUGGUACCUACUGGAAUUGUUUACCCUUUUUUCACUCUCAUCUGAAGUCUGUCUCCAUUUCUCUUUGCUUACUUGUUUAAUUCAGCUCUAUCUUCUAUCUUUAUACCACAAACGGAUUUUUCCAUCUUUUCAUUCCUACCUGUUUCUCCACCUAUCCAACAAGCAAAACACAGAAAGAUAAAUAAUAACUUAGGUCAAACCUUUCCUUCUCAUUGGGUCCAUUUGCCUGUUAUAAAUUAUUAGUUAAGUCCAAAGUAUUUUGUAUAAUCAAUUCUGUAUAAUACCAGAAUUCACCUUAUAAAUUAUAGUGAUUUUUAAACAUUUAUUCUGGACUCCCCAUAAGUUUUGAGAUAUAAAAAUACACUGAAAUUAGAACAUAAAUAACAUGAAUUUAGUAACACUCAUGCAUUGUUGGUAGAAAGGUUAAAUUGUACAACCUCUCUCGUGAACAGUUGGACCAUAUGUAUUAAGAUUUUAACUAUCCUCUACUCAGCAAUACCACUUUUAAGAUUUUAUGCUAAAGAGAUGAUCACAAGAUGCUUUUUACAUUCUGAAUAAAAAAGGGGGGGAAUAAGAAUACGUAUUUAUAUUUGUUUACAUAACAAAGAAAUUAUAUAAAGAUGCCAAGAAAACUAAUGGUGGUUCAGGUGACAGGAGGAACAAGAAUGGAAGAAAACCUUUUUGUUAUUUAUUUUUUUACAUUUUUAUUUUUGAAUUGUGAUAUUAUCCAAAAAUAGAAUUAAAAUGUUUAUCUGUUACUUAAGAAAAAGAAUAUACCAAAAAAUGUGGGGAAAAUGUACAUACAGGAGAGUUCAUUGUAGCUUACUACAAUGAAUGUUCAUACAAUGGAAUACUAUGCUAUCUAUUAAAAAUGACAGUGUAGGCACGGUGGCUCACACCUGUAAUCCCAGCAUUUUGGGAGGCUGAGGCGGGCGGAUCACUUGAGGCCAGAAGUUUGAGAGGAGUUGGCCAGCCUGGCCAACAUGGUGAAAUGCCAUUUCUACUAAAAAUACUAAAUUUAGCCGGGCCUGGUGGUAUGUGUCUGUAAUUCCAGCUACUCGGGAGGCUGAGGCAUGAGAAUCACUUGAAUUCAGGAAGCAGAGGUUGCAGUGAGCCAAGAUUGUGCUACUGCACUCCAGCCUGGGUGACAGAGCGAGACUCUGUCUCAAAACAAAACAAAACAAAAACGAUGUCCACUAUAUAAUGUCAAGUGGGAAAAAAAGUUGAACUUACUGUAAGAAUUAAAUAAAAUAAUGCAUAUAAACAAUUUGCCACAGUGCUGGCAUAUAGUAAACUCUCAAUAAAUGUUAGCAAUAAAUUUGGCUUCCUUUCACCUAUAACAACUUUAUGAAACACUGGGUAUCUUCUACAAUAUUAUUAUUUCUUUUAGACCUUUAUUUUUUCACUUGGUUCUUUCUUUCCUUCCUUUCAACAAUUUCCUAUUUCCCUCCCAAUGAUCCUCUCCUCCCGCUUAAAAAACAAAAAAGAGACCAGGCACGCUGGCUCAUGCCUGUAAUCCCAGCACUUUGGGAGGCCGAGGUAGGCAGAUCACCUGAGGUCAGGAGUUCGAGACCUGCCUGGCCAACAUGGUAAAAUCCUGUCUCUACUAAAAAUGCAAAAAUUAGCUGGGAAUGGUGGCAGGUGCCUGUAAUCCCAGCUACUCAGGAGGCUGAGGUAGGAGAACUGCUUGAACCCAGGAGACGGAGGUUGCAGUGAGCCAAGAUUGUGCCACUGCACUCCAGCAUCAGCAACAGAGCAAGACUCCAUCUCAAAAAAAAAAAAAGAAAAAGAAAAAAAAUCUUUUUUUUUCUUCCUCGUGACUCCCUGAUUUCUUGCCAAAAACUCAUCGGUUCCAGGAUCUUAAACAAUGGCCCAGAAAUAAAAUCUCAUUUUGUUCUUCGACACCAUCUGGGGAGCUAACUGUUCUAUUCCUAUUUACUCCUUUCUUUUCUAAAAGGCACCACCUUCAGCUGGAAGAAGUCAUGAAAAAAAUAUCACCUGUGCCUCCAAACCCUUCUAUUUCCUAGCCUGGAUGUCCCAUUUGCAGUCCUUCUUCCUGCACACCACUAUCAGGCUAAUCUGACUGUUCUUUAUUUCCAACUUUUGCCAGGACAUGUCAAAUCAUAGCUUCAACAAUCCCAAACUGAAUAGUCUUGUUCUCCCAAAUAGAUUUUUUUCCCUAAUGUCCUCAUUUAUGUCUGUGAUACCACAAUUUUUCCAGUUCCCCAAGCUAGAAAUCAGGGAAUACUGUGAAUUAUCUUUUCUGCCAUCUUACUUGCAUUUGGUCACUAAUCUUACUGUUUUUGUCUUUGAAAUAUUCCUGUUUUUCCCUUUCUCCUCCAAUUCUAUGUAACUUUUAUAAUUGUGGUUUGGGUUAUUGUGAAUUCCCAUCUAGAAUAUUGCAACAGCAUCCUAACUAGCCUCCCUUGAAUCCCAGUCCCUCUCUAAAAUUUAUAUUAUCCCACUGUCACAUUGCUCUUCCUUUAAAAGACUCAAAACAAAAACAAAAACUUCUCAAGCUUUCCCCAUUCAAGAACCUACAGUGAUUUCCUAUCUCUACCUUAUCAAAUUUCAACUCCUCUGCCAGGCUCUCAAUACCCUGGCUAAUCUAGCUCCUAUCAGUACUUAGGUCUUCAACACGCCUACCUUGCUCUGAGCAGUCAGUCCAGUGUCUUCCCUGUCCUCAUUCUCCAUAUAUACCCUAAGCUUUUAUUCUCACCAGUUUCCCUUCUGCUCCAACUUUGUAAACACUGUUCAUCUUUUUUUUUUUUUUUUUUUUUUUUUGAGACGGAGUCUCACUCUUCGCCCAGGCUGGAGCGCAGUGGCACAAUCUCGGCUCACUGCAAGCUCCACCUCCCGGGUUCACACCAUUCUCCUGCCUCAGCCUCCCGAGUAGCUGGGAACUACAGGCUCCCGCCACCACGCCCGGCUAAUUUUUUGUAUUUUUUUUAGUGGAGACAGGGUUUCACCGUAUUAGCCAGGACGGUCUCGAUCUCCUGACCUUGUGAUCUGCCCACCUCGGCCUCCCAAAGUGCUGGGAUUACAGGCGUGAGCCACCGCGCCCGGCCAACAUUGUUCAUCUUUAAAGGCCCAGUACAAAUUCUGUCUUUUAGAGACAGGCCUUUCCUCACCUCUAGCCACUUGUGUAUUUUUCUUCCUUGUUUAAACAUCUGCAGUAGUACUUCUAACCUAAUAUUUUGUAAUCUAAUAAUUUUGUAACCUAGCUGUCUCAACUCAGUGGAAUUUUGUUUCUAGUCACUGUGCCCAAAUUUGGUAUGUCAAAUAAUAAUUAUUUUGAGACAGGGUCUCACUCCGUUGCGCAGGCUGGAGUGCAGUGGCGUGAUCACUGCUCACUGCAGCCUCGACCUCCAGGGCUCAAGCAAUCCUCCCACCUCAGCCUCAGCUAAGACACUUGUACACCACCCCUCCUGGCUGUUUUUUACACUUUCUGUAGAGACAGGGUUUUGCCAUGUUGCCCACGAUGGUCUCAAACUCCUGGGUUCAAGCAAUAAGCAUGCCUCAGCCUCUCAAAAUGCUGGGAUUACAGGCGUGAGCCACCACGCCCAGCUGCAUUAUUUUUUUUUUUUAAUUCAACAACUUUGUAUAUUUUUGGAUACAAAUACAAAGUUAUAUCAUGCUUUCAAGAUAUUCUUUUACUAAUUCUCAGAACAAUGCAAGGCAUAAAUAUUGUGCACACUCAUGCCUACUUGUGUGAUCCUGAGUUUAAUAGAAGAAAGGAUAGAAACCAGCUUGGCUUAUACAUUUUUUAAAAUAUUAUUUGGCUCAUUUUCCCUAAAAACAUCAAGAAAGGAAUUGCCACAUGCCUAAUUGAAAAGAUAUGCUUAGUGGUAAGGAUAUAUAUACAUCAACUUUUAAGAGGUUUAAAAAAAAAACUCCUCCCAUUGUAACAGUUUAUAGUUCACCACAUACUACUAAAACAACCCAUAAACCAUGAGUGCAUUAUCAGGAGUGACAGGAGGGUAAGUCGACCGAUGUGAAAUUUACCUUGUAGGCAAUUGACAUUCUGCGGUGUAUGGCAACUGGUCAUGAGCAGUACAAAGAAUUUAAAAGGAUCCAAUAUCUCAAUAUGUUGAAACAAACUGUAUCACUUGGAUCCAUCAAUAUCAUUUUCCAUGGUUAGCUUUUGUUUGUUUUUAGUUAUUUAUUUAUUUUUGAGACGGAGUCUCGCUCUGUCCCCCAGGCUGGAGUGCAGUGGCAUGAUCUCAGCUCACUGCAACCUCCACCUCCCGGCUUCAAGAGAUUCUCCUGCCUCAGCCUCCACAGUAGCUGGGAUCAUAGGCAUGUGCCACUACGCCUGGCUAAUUUUUGUAUUUUUUUGGUAGAGACGGGGUUUCACCAUGUUGGUCAGGCUGGUCUCAAACCCCUGACCUCAAGUGAUCCGCCCGCCGC
rnacentral:lncRNA from 1 species